rnacentral:rRNA from 1 species
GGACGGGUGAGCAACGCGUGAGAAUCUGCCCUCAGGAGGGGGACAACAGCUGGAAACGGCUGCUAAUACCCCAUAUGCCGCGAGGUGAAAUGAAUUUCGCCUGAGGAUGAGCUCGCGUCUGAUUAGCUAGUUGGUGUAGGUAAUGGCUCACCAAGGCAUCGAUCAGUAGCUGGUCUGAGAGGAUGAUCAGCCACACUGGGACUGAGACACGGCCCAGACUCCUACGGGAGGCAGCAGUGGGGAAUUUUCCGCAAUGGGCGAAAGCCUGACGGAGCAACGCCGCGUGAGGGAUGAAGGCCUCUGGGCUGUAAACCUCUUUUAUCAAGGAAGAAGAUCCUGACGGUACUUGAUGAAUAAGCC